AUUGAACGCUGGCGGCAUGCCUUACACAAGCAAGUCGAACGGUAACAGGUCUUCGGAUGCUGACGAGUGGCGAACGGGUGAGUAAUACAUCGGAACGUGCCUAGUAGUGGGGGAUAACUACUCGAAAGAGUGGCUAAUACCGCAUGAGAUCUACGGAUGAAAGCAGGGGAUCGCAAGACCUUGUGCUACUAGAGCGGCCGAUGGCAGAUUAGGUAGUUGGUGGGAUAAAAGCUUACCAAGCCGACGAUCUGUAGCUGGUCUGAGAGGACGAUCAGCCACACUGGGACUGAGACACGGCCCAGACGCCUACGGGAGGCAGCAGUGGGGAAUUUUGGACAAUGGGCGCAAGCCUGAUCCAGCAAUGCCGCGUGCAGGAUGAAGGCCUUCGGGUUGUAAACUGCUUUUGUACGGAACGAAAAGCCCUGGGUUAAUACCCUGGGGUCAUGACGGUACCGUAAGAAUAAGCACCGGCUAACUACGUGCCAGCCGCCGCGGUAAUAC
rnacentral:rRNA from 1 species